CCUACGGGUGGCAGCAGUGAGGAAUAUUGGUCAAUGGCCGUAAGGCUGAACCAGCCAAGUAGCGUGAGGGAAGACUGCCCUAUGGGUUGUCACCCUCUUUUAUGCGGGGUUAAAGGUGUCCACGUGUGUAUGUUUGCAGGUACAGCAGGAGUAAGGACCGGCUAAUUCCGUGCGAGCAGCCGCGGUAAUCCGGAAGGUCCGGGCGUUAUCCGGAUUUAUUGGGUUGAAGGGGAGCGUAGGCCGGUCUUUAGGCGUGCCGUGAAAUUUUGUGGCUCACACAUGAGAGUGCGGCGCGAACUGGAGACCUUGAGUGCGCGGAAGGCAGUCGGAAGUCGUGGUGUAGCGGUGAAAUGCUUAGAUAUCACGAAGAACCCCGAUUGCGAAGGCAGCCUGCCGCAGCGUUACUGACGCUGAAGCUCGAAAGCGCGUGUAUCGAACAGGAGUAGAUACCCGAGUAGUC
rnacentral:rRNA from 1 species